UGAACAGGAAGCUGCCCAGCGCCGGGACCAUCAUCAGGAGCUGAAGAGCAGCCAUGGCGGGCAAAUUGCGCUUCUCCCGACGCCUGGAGGAACCGCCCUGCGGAGGGGAGGGGCUCCCUCCGGAAUCCCCACGCCCUCCCGUGACGUCACAAGCGCGUAAUGAGGAGCGGGGGGGGGAUUCCUCCCUAUCAGGAGCGGGAGGGAGAAGGGGGUCUUCCCCUAGCAUUCCCAUGGCCGAGUGACAUCACACGCUGGGAAGGGGGCUCUUGUCUAGGGAUUCCCCUUUCACGUCGUGACAUCACGAAGAACUCUUGGGGGGGCUUUGACGUCAUACAGGAUCUCGGGCGCAGAACCUCCCCGCCUGCCGAAAUAUUCCUCCCCGUGGCAGAGGAACAAGUAAGGGUUGCCCCCCCAAAAAACCCCCAGCUCCCUCGAGUCUUCUAAGGAAUCAGCGUCUGCUCUUUUCAUCCAGGGGCCUCGACGCAGCUCUCAUUCUUCCAUCCCCAAGUUGGGCAAAAGAUUCCUGCACUGCAGGGGGUUGGACUAGAUGACCCUGGUGGUCCCUGAUAACUUUGUGAUUCUUUGAUCCGGACCAGGAACGACGGCAAACCGCAACGAAGAAAGCAGAAAGCGGAUUCUAAGCGCAGCACCGCGGAGGAGGGGCUAAGAAUGCCACCAUUCUCACCUUGCCUGCUCAGAAGUGAGCGCAAUGGAAUCCGCUCUCAGGCUCAGCCUCCAGAUGCAUCGAAGGGUCGUCCGCGGAAGACCUGCAGCCCUUGCCUCCUGGGGUCCAGCGGAACUCUCUACCCAGCGGCCUCAUGCAGCCCGACGUCUCGUCAAUGGGGCGAAGAGAUUGCAUCCCUGAUGGAGGAGACACCCGCAUAGUGGGUGGCAGCCCUGCGACCUUUGGGGGACAGGCAGGGGGGUCUUCUACAACUGGCCCCAGUUCACCAGGGGCGAGCCCCUUCCAAUCUGGCAAGCCAAGCCGGCCUGGGCUGUUGGGGUCUAUAUUUGGAGGGACGCUCCCUCCUCCGUUAUGGGCACCAAAUGUGAAGCCUGGCAUGCCAGGUUAUGGGGCUGGCGUUGGGUCAUAUGGCUAUGGCCCUGGUUAUAACAGCCAGGGUUUCCCCCGCCCAGUGUGGAAGAGACCUGGGUUCCCUUACAUACCGACUGCUGAGGAGCGGGGUGGAGGCUACAUCCCAAUACGAAACGAGCCACCUAGGCUAUAUCCGUACGGCGGCGGUGGAGCAGUGGCAGGGGGAUCGACUUAUAGUGGCGGGUCCGUAGCAUACGGGCCGAGGGGCACGUAUGACGGCAGCUAUGGGCCCGUCCCUGCAAGUGUGCAGCCAGGCGGACAGCGAGACAGUGGGGAUAAAGGAAACCCUUGCACAUCAAACUGUUAGGGUGACAGGCUGGUCCACAUCCUGGGAACUUGAGGCAGGGUGGGUGGAAUGUCAGCUCAACUCUUCUGAGAGGAGUAUGUGUUCUUAGGCUGUGUUUCCCCCCCAAACUUUAGGACCCCUACCCUUAAAAAAUAAAUAAAACACAUUCAAAAGACACGGUUAUGAGUCCUCCUGACCAAGGAGUUUUCAGAACUUUUGCGUAACAAAUAUGCUCCAAACUGCCAUAGAACUACAAGAGUUUUCUGGAGGAAUCAGAGAUGGGACCCCAACAGUCAUCUAGCCCAAGGCAGGAAUCUCAACCAAAGCAUCCAUGGCAGAUGGCUGUCCAGCCUCUGCUUAAUAACCUCCAAGGAAGGAGAGUCCAUCUCCUCUCAAGGGAGUCUGUUCCACUGUCAAACAGCUCUUACUGUCAGAAAGCUCUUCCUGACGUUUGGUCGGAAUCUCCUUUCUUGUAAACUUGAAUCCGUUGGUUCGGGUCUUACCCUCCAGAGCAGGAGAAAUAAGCUUGCUCCAUCGUCCAUGGGACAGCCCUUCAGAUGAUUUGAAGAUGGCUAUCAUAUCUCCUCUCAGUCUCCUCUUUUCCUGGCUAAACAUACCCAGCUCCCUCAACCGUUCCUCAUAAGGCUUGGUUCCCAGACCCUUGACCAUCUUGGUUGCCCUCCCAUGGCCACCCAGGUUCAAAUUUUUAGGGCAGCUGUUUCCCAAUCAAUGCCCCCUUGCUUCUUCCAUUAGGAAACCCUCUCUUCUCAACCCCCUUGGUAGCCCAGAUCCCAAUGCAAAAUCACUUGUUCUCAGCUUGCUGGUGUCACAGGUCUGUCCCACCCCCCCCCAUGUCAGAAACAGUGGCUUAGUAGGUUAAAGUAUGUCAUAUGGAUCGACUUGUCCAGUCAGGCGCCAAAAUCCUUUGCUCAAGCAAUAGUUGCUAGCUCAUCGCUUGAUUAAGAACCAGUUUACAUGACCCAGUUGGGCAGGCUUUGUCUGUGCCAACAUAAGUGAAGCCGACGGCCAUCUUGGAUCAAGCCUGCAUAGCGUAGUGCAGCCCUGAGGGGAGUUAAACUUGCCUGAGAUGGCAAAAUCAAAGGGGCUGUUUGUAUCAAAAUUGUUUUAUAGUUGCUUGUGAUGUCGGCCUGAUUGUUUUGUGCAUCUCUCUCUCUUUUUGAAGCAGAAUGUAUUUGAAGAACCUCUGCCACCUCUUGUCACCUGCUUUUGUUAUGUACCAUUAUGUCACUUGGAAGCAAAGCCCUUUUUUUUGUAGUCGGGCCAAAAUGCUUGUAUUAAAAUCCUAUGUACUGUAA